rnacentral:rRNA from 1 species
CCUACGGGGGGCAGCAGUGGGGAAUAUUGGACAAUGGGCGAAAGCCUGAUCCAGCAAUGCCGCGUGAGUGAUGAAGGCCUUAGGGUUGUAAAGCUCUUUUACCAGGGAUGAUAAUGACAGUACCUGGAGAAUAAGCUCCGGCUAACUCCGUGCCAGCAGCCGCGGUAAUACGGAGGGAGCUAGCGUUGUUCGGAAUUACUGGGCGUAAAGAGUACGUAGGCGGUUAUUCAAGUCAGAGGUGAAAGCCCGGGGCUCAACCCCGGAACUGCCUUUGAAACUAGAUAGCUAGAGUCUUGGAGAGGUUAGUGGAAUUCCGAGUGUAGAGGUGAAAUUCGUAGAUAUUCGGAAGAACACCAGUGGCGAAGGCGACUAACUGGACAAGUACUGACGCUGAGGUACGAAAGCGUGGGGAGCAAACAGGAUUAGAUACCCUGGUAGUCCACGCCGUAAACGAUGAUAACUAGUUGUUCGGGCACUUGGUGCCUGAGUGACGCAGCUAACGCAUUAAGUUAUCCGCCUGGGGAGUACGGUCGCAAGAUUAAAACUCAAAUGAAUUGACGG